GGGAGGGAGGUGGCUCGCGCUCACCCUGGGGCGGGAGGAGGAGGCGGCGGCGCCACCCAGCAGCCCGAGUCGCCCCGAGCGCGAGACCCCUGAGACGGCUGCUGAUUGGCUGACGAUGGCGCAGGUGGUGGGCGCGCGGGAGACAGGGCGGCUUCUCUCCUCUUCCCCCCGCCAACGAUUCCACUCCCCCUCCCUCCGCCAGCGGCCGUUAUUUCGCGCGCACGCGCACAAGGCCGCCGUCGUUGCCGAGCGGGAGAAUGGGGGAGCGCGCGCGCCGGGGGCACGGACGGGGCGGGGCUAAUCCCUGAGCGCGCGCCCGCCUAACGGUCGCAGGCCUCAUGCUUCGGCUUCCGCUUUUUGCGUCCUGCAGGCCACCGUCCUCCCCGCCCCACCCCAGCGGUGUAUUUACAAUCCUGCGCUGAGUCGUUCCCCGAAGAUGGCGCCCAGUGGAGUCGCCUGCCUUGCUCGCGGCCCACCCCGAGGCGGUCACACCCCGGUCCCGCCCCCGCAGCCCCAAAAAUCAGGCGGAAGCACCGGAGCAAAAACUGUAUUUACACAACACGGG
rnacentral:lncRNA from 1 species